rnacentral:rRNA from 1 species
GACGAGGGGUCCUAGCGUUGUUCGGAAUUACUGGGCGUAAAGCGUGCGUAGGCGGUUCGUUAAGUUCGUUGUGAAAGCCCCGGGCUCAACCUGGGAACUGCAAUGGAAACUGGCGGGCUUGAGUGUGGCAGAGGGGGGUGGAAUUCCGCGUGUAGCAGUGAAAUGCGUAGAGAUGCGGAGGAACACCGAUGGCGAAGGCAGCCCCCUGGGCCAACACUGACGCUCAGGCACGAAAGCGUGGGGAGCAAACAGG